AGCAGUGUGAUUUAGUGGAAAGAGCAUGGCCUUGGAAAUCAGAGGACGUGGGUUCUAAUCCCAUCUCUGCCA
rnacentral:tRNA from 1 species